GACCUGAGCCAAAAUCAAGGUUUGGACGCUUAACCAACUGAGCCACCCAGGUGCCCCUUGUGAACUAUGUCUUAAAACUAUUUGACCAUAGCCAACUAGUAAUAGAAGUACCUACUAAUGUUUAUAAUAUACACUCAAUAUAUUUGUCUAACAAAAUUUAAUUCUUUUUCUUCCAGGUAAUUUAUCCUCAACAUUCCAAACUUACUGAUAAGGAAAAAACCAAUAUUUGCUAUUUGUCUUUUCCAGAUUCAAAUUCAGGUUGUCUUGGAGAUACCCAGUUUUGUUUUAGAUUUCGACAAUCUUCUGGGAGGAGGGUGUCACUGCAUUGUCUCCUGGAUCAUUAUGACAAAGAUUUACCAGUUUACUUAAAGAAGGAUCCUGCUUAUUUUUACGGAUAUGUGUAUUUCCGACAAGUUCGAGAUAAAAGUCUAAAAAGAGGCUACUUCCAGAAGGUAAAUUUCAUAUGCACUAAUAGGGAAAUUGUUUUUAUAUUGUGGCUAGAAAAAUAGAAACUGUAAGGAUGAAUAGUCUUUAAAGUCUUUGAUAUUUUAUCUUUAAACAUACUAGAACUUACAUUUUUUGUUGUUGUUGUUUUUUUAGAUUAUAGAUACCUGUCCCUAG